AAACAUUGUUCCUGGUAUCAAAGUUGACAAGGUAUAUUAACCUACACCCUCAACUUUAACGUCAAUAAAAUAUAUAGUGAACUUUUAGUAACUUCUAUUUUUAAUUUUAUGUGUAAAAUAUUGGUCUCAGAUGAGCUUAAACAGAACGACAUUAUACGUGAGGAUCUAUAUAGCCGACCCCAACUUGCUUGAAAUUCUUGUAGUAACAAGAAAGAGGAAAGGCAGGGUUAUGUAUGGGUAGCAAGAGUUUAUUAUAGGGCGUUCAAACUUUUAAGUUUGACUCUUAAAUAAACUUUAACUUGUUCAACUUAGAGUUGUUUAUAUGGCGAAACUAGCUCAGACAAGAGUUAAUCAGCCUAUGGACUGAGUAUUAAAUGAGAGGAUUUCAAGUUUAAUGAUUAAUUGGACUGAAAUGAGAUUUCUAUCAAAAUCCCCUAAUCAUUUUGUCUGUUAACAGGGUUUGGUUCCCCUUGCUGGUUCAAAUGAUGAGUCAUGGUGUCAAGGUCUUGAUGGCCUUGCCUCCCGCACUGCUGCAUACUACCAACAGGGUGCACGUUUCGCCAAAUGGUAUAUUCAAGAAUGCCUCAUAAUUUUCAAAAAUAUUGACUUUGUUAGGUCUAAAGAUGAUAUUUGCUAAAAUUAUGGUAACUUAUGCAGGCGUACCGUGGUGAGCAUUCCCAACGGACCAUCUGCAUUAGCUGUGAAGGAAGCAGCAUGGGGUUUGGCUCGCUACGCUGCAAUUUCUCAGGACAGUGGUUUGGUCCCAAUUGUGGAGCCAGAGAUUUUGUUAGACGGUGAACAUGGAAUCGACAGGACUUUUGAGGUAGCCCAAAAGGUUUGGGCUGAGGUCUUCUUCUAUUUGGCUGAGAACAAUGUCAUGUUCGAGGGUAUCCUCUUAAAGCCGAGCAUGGUCACUCCUGGUGCUGAAUGCAAAGACAGGGCCACUCCUCAGCAAGUCGCGGACUAUACUCUAAGUCUCCUUCAAAGGAGGAUUCCCCCAGCUGUCCCUGGAAUCAUGGUAAGUCUCCUUUAUUUCUAUGAAUUUAGCUAGUUUUUGACUGAGCACGAAAUUUAACAAACAAAGAGAGAUUGUCAGUACAUUGCCCAAGUAGCCUUAAAACGUGUGCUCUUAAACAUUUUAUGACAUUUCUAUGACUAUAUGAGCAUUGAGAAGUUAUUAAAGACUUAUUAUUUUCGAAAGAGAUUAAAAAGGAAAGUACCGUAUAAGAUGGAACUGAGUCAACAUAUAGAAUAUGAAUCAUUAGUAUCUGACUUCCCGUGAUAUAUAUAGAUGAAUAAGUGAAUAAACACUCAACGAGACUAACAUAAACAUUGGCACUAGGUAUGAAAUUACUAUUUAACUGGUGCUAAUUGACUCGAUAUUGUUGCAGUUCUUGUCUGGUGGGCAAUCAGAAGUUGAGGCUACAUUGAACUUGAAUGCCAUGAACCAAGCUCCAAACCCAUGGCACGUAUCGUUCUCAUACGCGAGGGCUCUUCAGAACACUUGCUUGAAAACAUGGGGAGGACAACCCGAGAACGUUAAGGCUGCUCAGGAUGCUUUACUUACCAGGGCCAAAGCCAACUCUCUUGCUCAGCUCGGAAAAUACACCGGCGAGGGUGAAUCAGAU
rnacentral:lncRNA from 1 species